UGGGCUGUAGCUCAGUGGUAGAGUACUUGCCUCAUAUGAGUGAAGCACUGAGUUCAAUCCUCAGCAUCACAU
rnacentral:tRNA from 1 species